CACAAACACACAUUAAAGUGUGUUGAACGAGAGAGAACGUGGAGAAGAGGAGAAAGUGAAGAUAAGAAAAAGAAAGGAAUGAAAAAAAAAGGAAAAGGAAAGAAGAAAUCUUGUGCCAACUACCUCAAUCUUGUUUAUUUAAUUCUUCAAGAGGUAAGGUUAAUAAUUUAUGAUUUAGUUUUUGUAAAUUUUUGUUUAGGGUUUUAAAUUUAUAACUUAUACUUGAAAAAUAUGAUAAGGAAGCUAACUAUUUGAGUAUUUGGAGCUAGUUAUUCUAGUGGAUUGGAAAAAAUGAUAUUUAGAUAUUAGGGUUUUGUCAUAUAUGGCUUAAUCCGAAAAUUUGGGGAAAAAUAUGAAUUCUUGUUAUUUUCCCUUGUGAUUGUUUUAUGGUAUUAUUAAGUUAGAUUAGUUGAAAAUAACUUAUCUUAUACUUGAAUUCUCACUUUGGAUGAAUAUGAAGAAUAUAAGAAAUGAGCUUUUGAUAAGAUUUAUGUAUUUAGUUAAAAGAGAAUUUAAAUAAAGAAUGUGGACGAUUAUUAUCAUGAAAGCUUGUUGAAUCUUUAAAAGGCAGCCGGGAAUGGUUAGUAUUAACGAGUGAGAGAUGUAGAGUGAUUCGAAAUUAAGUGAACGUAUGUUUAAGUAAUCAAAUGAAAUAUAAGUAUUAAGUCUCAGUUUAUUACUUAUUGAGGGAUAUAUAUUUUAUUUUGCUGAUAAGAAAGGGUUAUUAUUGAGAAAUCCCUUGUAACUGUAUAUGGAUGGAAUUGAAGUGGCUUAUAUUUAUGAUCGUUUCAAGAGGGGAUUUGGACGUGGGAACAGCAUUCCAGCCCCGUUAGUCCAGCCUAUAUCUGUGAGUGGAGAAUCUAUAUUUUCAAAAAGAAGAUUUUCUUUUUAUUUUAUAGAAGCAUGUUAAUUACAUGAAAUGCUUUAUUUUCGAGAAAUGGUAAAUGAGUAUGAUUGUUUUGAAAUUAUCAUAAAAUAAUUGAUGUGAUUAUCUUACUCUAGUGCACUGCAGGGCUACGACCGUGUACUAGAGUCAUGUAUUUAACUCUUAUCCACUGAUGGGCUACGACCGUGGGGUAAAGGUAUCUAAUAUACACUGAGGGGCUACAGUCGUGUGUAAGGGUAACUCUUAUCCACUGAGGGGCUACGGCCGUGGGUAAAGAUAUCCAUUAUGCACUGAGGAGCUACAGUCGUGUAUAAGGAUGAUUAGGUUGUUUCCAUCUUGUACACCGAGGGGCUACGGUCGUGUACAUAAUAUUGAUCAGACGGUUUAUGUACGUAUGAUUUAUAGCGUUCAGAUCAUUAGUAGAUGUAUACAUGGGAUAUAUUUUGAUGUGAAUUUUAAUUAUUUAGUGGAUUAUUAGCUUUCUGCUUACAUUUUUCUCGCUUACAGUUCAGCUCUUGGAUUUUAGACUAUGGUUUUUGAUUAUUGAAUUGUCUAAUGUACUUACUCAUCUGGUUGUAUCUAUGUGUAUAUAUAUAUACAUAAAGGAUAGUACAACCAUCUUUUAAGCACUUCACUUGCUGGAAUUAUUAUCUCAUAUUUUCCUGAACUUUUCCUUAUAGGAGGCUGUUGACUGAGCUGUGGUGGAGAUUAUUUUGAUAGUUUUGCAGCCAUUGCUACCACCAAUUGUAGGUCCUUUUGCUUGAAACUGUGUAAUCAUCAAGUGAAAUAUUUGCAUUAUAUUGGAGGAAAUCAUUUUGGUAUUUAUAUACACCAAUGAUCAUGAUGUACUAUUGUAAUCUAAACUGCUUUCUAUUAUCCUUUUGAGAGGCAGUUUUGAUGAAUAUGAUAUGGAUGUUUUUGGCUAAACGAGCAAAUGAUAUUAUUAUGUUGGUAUAUUGGAGUUUAGAAAGAUUUUAAUUGGUCAAAUGAAGUUUUAUUAUUAAAGUUUAGUUACUUUUGCCUUGGUGAUGGGUCCAGUGCCUAGCUGGCACUUAUCAUCGGCUCACGUCACGUCUUGAGUCUUAGGACGGGAUGUGUCAAGUGGUAUCAGAGCAUGGUUCAAGAGUCUCUGGGAUAUGCUGAAUUUAUUGUGAUCUUUCAACAUGUUAUUCAUAUUGUAGGUUAAGGAUGCGCAGUUGCAGAGCGGGCAGGCGUCAAAACCAACUACCUGAAAAUCCAAAUGCCCUUACAUGAGAAGAUGUAGGUGAGGCAUCAGUUUAACACACGCAAGGACUGCCGACAUAAGGUAAUGUGGUUGGAAAUGAUCCCCUAUUCGACGGACUCGCUACAGCCAUUGCAUCUAUUCUUCCCAACCCAGAUAGAGAUAUUAGCAUCGAGAGGGCAAUUAAGCUCGGUGCUAAACAUUAUGUGGGCACAGCUAACCCUACUGAUGCUGAGGAAUGGAUGAGGAAUUUAGAAAGUAUUUUUGAUAUUAUGGGUUGUUCUGACGAAAAGAAACUACGCCUUGCUACUUUCUUGCUGAAAGGUGUGGCAGCUGACUGGUGGGUUGCUUUUCGAAGCAGGUAUCGUGAAGCCAGUGACAUUACAUGGGCUAUUUUUAGAGAUGCUUUCUUUGAGACAUACUAUCCUCUUUCAUACAAGAAUGUCAAGCAAAAUGAGUUCUUGAGAAUGACUCAAGGUUUAAUGACUUUUUCUGAAUAUCACACCAAGUUUGUAGAGCUUUCAAAGUAUGCAUUGGUUCUAGUAAAUAAGGAGAAUGACAAAUGCAGGCGAUUUGAAGAGAACUUGAGGCAUGAUAUUAGGGCGAUGGUGACAGGGCAGGGACAUGCCAGAUUUGGUCCACUAGUUGAGGCGGCCUUGAGAAUCGAGGCAGCAUUACAAGCAGGACAAAGUCAGGGGAUUCAAUUAGCUAUUCGAGGAAAUCAAAGUCAGACAAGAACCUCUAGUGGACAGCAUAAAAAGAACAAAGGAAGAUUUUGGCUUGGUGUUACUCAUACUAGGAGUUUUAAGUCGAGAUCUCAGAGUUCUGGAUUCAGUCAAGAAUCCAUUCAUAGUCAGAACUCUAUCAACCAGCUAGCACAUCGUUAGUCUUCGAUUCAGAGGGCUAUGGCCUCGAGACCUAUCAACGGCCUUAGUAGUACUCGAUAUCCGCCUUGUCAGAUUUGUGGAAAACUCCAUCUUGGUAAGUGUCUUAAGGGUACCAAUGGAUGCUUUGUGUGCGGACAGGAAGGACAUUUAAGGAAAGACUAUCCAGCCCGAUUUUAGGAGGGAGGCUCAUCUCAGGGGACAAGUAUACAGAUAGGGACUAGUGAUGCCAGAUCGAGAUAGAAUAAAAAGGGAAUUCCAACAAGUAAUGUAGGUUCGACUAGUAGAGUACAGUUUGAUAUGGCCGGUGGCAGUGAUUCCAAGCAGAGGGACAGUCAGGACGUACUCAGACUCGGGGCAGAGUGUUUGCUAUGACACAACAGGAGGCCGAGGAAUCACCUGACGUAGUUAUGGGUAUGUUAUCUAUUUUUGGUAGAAAUGCUUGUUCCUUAAUUGAUUCGGGUGCUACAUAUUCCUUUAUUUCUCAUGCACUUGCUAGCCAGGCUGAUAAAAUGUCGGAGCCUUUAAACAGUGAAUUAGUAGUAAUGACUCCUGUAGGGGAUUCACUUUUAGCUAGUUGGGUAUACAAAGAUUGUGGGAUUAGAGUGAACAAUCAUGAGUUGAAAGCAUAUCUAAUUCCACUCGAUAUUCAUGAUUUUGAUGUUAUUUUGGGGAUGGACUUUUUAUCUAGACAUCAUUCUUCAGUCGAUUGUUUUAGCAAGGAAGUGAUAUUUAGAAGUCCAGAAAAUCUUGAAAUUGUUCUCACUGGAGAGCGCAGAAUUUCGCCAUCUUGUAUGAUAUCUGUCGUUGAUGCCCGAAGAAUGCUAAAAAGGGGUUGUCAUGCAUAUUUGGCUCAUGUGAUUGAUACUCAGAUCACUAAGCUGGAAAUUGACGAUAUAUCAGUUGUGUGAGAUUUCCCCGAUGUCUUUCCAGAAGACCUUCCAGGAUUACCCCCAGACAGGGAGAUUGAAUUCUGUAUUGAUUUAGUCCCCGGGACAGCACCUAUUUCACAGGUACCUUAUCGAAUGGCUCCGAAAGAGUUGAAGGAAUUAAAGGUACAAUUACAAGAUUUGGUGGAUAAAGGUUUCAUUAGACCUAGUGUAUCUCCAUGGGGAGCACCUAUUUUUUUGUGAAAAAGAAAGAUGGCACAAUGAGAUUAUAUAUUCACUACAGACAGUUGAAUAAAAUGACUAUUCGCAAUAAGUACCCUCUAUCCCGCGUUGACGAUUUGUUUGAUCAACUUCGAGGUGCCUCAGUAUUUUCAAAGAUUGAUUUGCAUUCAGGGUAUCGUCAACUCAAAAUUAGGGAUGUGGAUGUACAGAAAACUGCUUUCAGGCUGAGAUAUGGGCAUUAUGAGUUUUAGUAAUGUCAUUUGGGUUGACUAAUGCCCCAGCAGCAUUUAUGGACUUGAUGAAUAGGGUGCUUCACCCAUAUUUAGACACAUUUGUGAUUGUUUUUUGACGAUAUAUUAGUUUAUUCUCACACUCAUAAUGAACAUGCUGAGCAUUUGAGGAUUGUCUUGCUUUGCGAGAUAAGCAGUUGAUGCCAAAUUUAGCAAAUAUGAAUUUUGGCUGGAUAAAGUUGUGUUUCUAGGUAUGUUAUCUCGGCAGAAGGUAUUUAUGUAGAUCCUCAGAAGAUUGAGGCAGUAAUGAAAUAGGAGCGCCCUACUAAUGUUACAGAAGUACGGAGUUUCCUUGAGCUAGCAGGUUAUUAUCGAUGAUUCGUAGAGGAUUUUUCCAAAAUUGCUCUUCCUUUGACUAGUUUGACUUGAAAGGACAUCAAAUUUGUGUGGAAUGAGGAACGUGAGAAGAGUUUUCAAGAGUUGAAGAAAAGGUUAACUUCUGCUCCUAUACUUACUCUUCCAUCUCCAGGUGAAGAGUUUGUGAUUUAUAGUGAUGCUUCAUGCCAAGGAUUGGGUUGCGUUCUAAUGCAAAAUGGAAAAGUUGUAGCUUAUGCUUCUAGACAAUUGAAGAAGCAUAAGUUAAAUUACCCAACUCAUGAUUUGGAGUUAGCUGCAAUAGUGUUGGUAUUGAAGAUUUGGAGACAUUACAUUUAUGGUGAGAAAUGUCAAAUAUUUACCGACCAUAAAAGUCUAAAGUAUAUCUUUGAUCAGAAGGAACUGAAUCUGAGGCAAAGAAGAUGGUUGGAGUUGAUAAAGGAUUAUGAUUGUAAGAUUGACUACCAUCCGGGGAAAGCUAAUGUAGUUGCAGAUGUUCUCAGUAGAAAGACUAGUUCUUCAUCUCCAUCCAGUGCAAUAUAUGCUUCUUUGAUUUGUGAGUUCAAGAAGUUACAUACUCAGUUGUCAGUUACUACUUCGGGGGCAAUAUUAGCUCAUUUUCAAGUGAGGCCUUCUUUGAUUGAUAAGGUUAAAGAAGCUCAAUCUCAAGACCUACCAUUGAGAACCAUGAAAGCACAAGUUAGUGUAGGGUUACGGACGGAUUAUGUGAUUAGAGAUGAUGGGUCGUUAGCUAUAGGUAAUAAAUUAUGUGUUCCAGAUAUUCCAGAAUUGAAGAAUGAAAUUUUAGAAGAGGCACAUAGUUCUGCUUAUGCUAUGCAUCUAGGUAGUAUUAAAAUGUAUCAUACAUUGAAAUAUCAUUACUGGUGGAAAGGUAUGAAGAGAGAGAUAGCAGAUUUUGUAUCCAAAUGUCUUAUAUGACAGCAGGUAAAGCCAGUUCGUCAAAAAACAGUAGGACUUUUACAGUCAUUACCUAUUCCAGAAUACAUUACUAUGGACUUCUUAUUUGGUCUUCCUCGUACUCAGAAUGGUCAUGAUGGUGUUUGGGUGAUUGUGGAUCGUUUGACCAAAAUUGCCAGAUUUUUGCCAAUCAAAAUCACUUAUUCUUUGAGUAAGUUAGCAAAGUUGUACGUGGAUGAAAUAGUUAGCUUAUAUGGUGUUCCAGUAUCUAUUGUAUCUAAUAGAGAUCCCCGAUUUACAUCCAAAUUUUGGCCUAGUUUACAGGGAGCUAUGGGUACUAAACUUCAUUUCAGCACAACUUUUCAUCCUCAGACAGAUGGUCAAUCAGAGAGGACCAUACAAACUCUUGAGGAUAUGUUGAGGGCUUGUGUUUUGGAGUUCAAAGGUAGCUGGGAUACUCAUUUGUCUUUGAUGGAGUUUGCUUAUAAUAACAGUUACCACUCCAGUAUAGAAAUGACUCCUUUUGAAGCUUUAUAUGGUAGAAAGUGUAGAACACCAGUAUGUUGGAAUAAAGUUGGUGAAAGAAAGUUAGUGGGCCCUGAUUUGGUUCAAAUGGCUUCAGAAAAUGUGAAAUUGAUUAGAGAAAAUUUGAAAAUAGCACAAGACAGACAUAAAAGUUAUGCAGAUAAGCGCAGAAAAGAUCUUGAAUUUGCAGUUGGAGAUAAAGUCUUUUUGAAAUUGUCACCUUGGAAAGGAAUGUUGAGAUUUGGCAAACGAGGAAAGUUGAGUCCACGAUAUAUUGGACCUUAUCAGGUUACUGAGCGGAUUGGGCCGGUUGCAUAUCGAUUAGAUUUGCCAGAUGAAUUAUCUCGGAUCCAUGAUGUUUUUCAUGUUUCUAUGCUUCGUAAGUAUAUUGUAGAUCCUUCUCAUGUUCUAGAGUCUCAACCAGUUCUAUUGAACAAGAAUUUGACUUACGUAGAAGAACCAUUGAGAAUUUUAGACAAAAAUGUGCAAAUGCAGCUAAACAAGAUAGUUUCACUUGUUAAAGUACUUUGACAGAAUCAAACAGUAGAAGAGGCUACAUGGGAGAAUGAGGAUCAUAUGCGUGCUCAAUAUCCUCAUUUAUUCAUUGCCUAAUCAGUUGCCAGCUGAAUUUCGAGGACGAAAUUAUUUUAAGGGGGUAAGAUUGUUACAACCCAAAUUUUUCUAGUCAAAAUUCAAAUGUUGACUAGUCAAAGUCAAAAUCAAUUAAGGACUAAAAUGAAAUUAAAUAUUUUAUUGGGGUUUAUUUUAUAAUUAGCCAUAUAUGAGGGUUAAAUUGGCUACAAUUUAAAGUUGGGAAUUUACUUAUAUAUAUUUGGAAGUUUAGAAUUUAAAAGUUAUAUUCUAUUAAAGAAUAGGGACCUUCCUUAGCAAUUUUGAACAAGUGGCCUUUAUAUUCAAGCUUUGACCAUUUUUUUCCACAAAAAUCACACACAAACACACAUUAAAGUGUGUUGAACGAGAGAGAACGUGGAGAAGAGGAGAAAGUGAAGAUAAGAAAAAGAAAGGAAUGAAAAAAAAAGGAAAAGGAAAGAAGAAAUCUUGUGCCAACUACCUCAAUCUUGUUUAUUUAAUUCUUCAAGAGGUAAGGUUAAUAAUUUAUGAUUUAGUUUUUGUAAAUUUUUGUUUAGGGUUUUAAAUUUAUAACUUAUACUUGAAAAAUAUGAGAAGGAAGCUAACUAUUUGAGUAUUUGGAGCUAGUUAUUUUAGUGGAUUGGAAAAAAUGAUAAUUAGAUAUUAGGGUUUUGUCAUAUAUGGCUUAAUCCGAAAAUUUGGGGAAAAAUUUGAAUUCUUGUUAUUUUCCCUUGUGAUUGUUUUAUGGUAUUAUUAAGUUAGAUUAGUUGAAAAUAACUUAUCUUAUGCUUGAAUUCUCACUUUGGAUGAAUAUGAAGAAUAUAAGAAAUGAGCUUUUGAUAAGAUUUAUGUAUUUAGUUAAAAGAGAAUUUAAAUAAAGAAUGUGGACGAUUAUUAUCAUGAAAGCUUGUUGAAUCUUUAUAGGGCAGUCAAGAAAUGUUAGUAUUAACGAAUGAGGGAUGUAGAGUGAUUCGAAAUUAAUUGAACGUAUGUUUAAGUAACCAAAUGAAAUAUAAAUAUAAGUCUCAACUUAUUGCUUAUUGAGGGAUAUAUAUUUUAUUUUGAUGAUAAGAAAGGGUUAUUAUUGAGAAAUCUCUUGUAACUGUAUAUGAAUGGAAUUGAAGUAGCUUAUAUUUAUGAUCGUUUCAGGAGGGGAUUUGAACGUGGGAACAGCAUACCGGCCCCGUCGACCAUGUACUAGAGUCAUGUAUUUAACUCUUAUCCACUAAGGGGCUACGGUCGUGGGUAAAGGUAUCUAAUAUACAUUGAGGGGGCUACAGUCAUGUGUAAAGGUAACUCUUAUCCACUGAGGGGCUACGACCGUGGGUAAAGGUAUCCAUUAUACACUGAGGGGUUACAGCCGUGUAUAAGGAUGAUUAUGUUGUUUCCAUCUUGUACACUGAGGGGCUACGGCUGCGUACAGAAUAUUGAUCAGACAGUUUAUGUACAUAUGAUUUAUAGUUUUCAGAUCAUUAGUAGAUGUAUACUUGGGAUAUAUUUUGAUGUGAAUUUUAAGUAUAUAGUGGAUUAUUAGUCUUCAUCUUACAUUUUUCCCGCUUACAGUUCAGCUUUUGGAUUUUAGAUUAUGGUUUUUUGUUAUUGAAUUGUCUAAUGUACUUACUCAUCUGGUUGUGUGAGUGUGUGUGUGUGUGUGUAUAUAUAUAU
rnacentral:lncRNA from 1 species